rnacentral:rRNA from 1 species
CGGGUGAGUAAUGCAUAGGUAACGUGCCCCUUAGUCUGGGAUAGCCACUGGAAACGGUGAUUAACACUGGAUACGCCUUCUCUCUUAAUGAGAGUUGGGAAAGUUUACGCUAAGGGAUCGGCCUAUGUUGUAUCAGGUAGUUGGUGAGGUAAUGGCUCACCAAGCCUAUGACACAUAGCGGGUCUGAGAGGAUGAUCCGCCACACUGGUACUGAGACACGGACCAG